rnacentral:lncRNA from 1 species
GCGAAGUUGCUGUUCUACUUCUACAGCAUGCUCAAGACAGAAGACAUGCAUUCGAGAAGAAUCUUCGUCCAUCCUUUGAACAAAUGGAAUAUCCACAUUCUCCAUUGGUAAGACAGCCAUGCUAAACCUCAUUUUCUCUAUGCCAUGAGCAGCACGAGAGUAAUUCGGAUUAACAUGAGAUGAUGUCAUUGGAUCUCUAAACUUAUCCUCCAAACCAUUGGAUCUUCUUGAAAUAAGAUUAUCAGUUUUAAACUCAAGAUCAGGGUCAAAUGUUUCAGGGCUUCCAUUCUUGAUGUCAAAUGGAGAUUCCUCCUCAGAAUCGAGCCUUGAUAAUGAAGGAUUACGACUUGUGUUCACAUCACUAGGAGAAAAACCGG